rnacentral:rRNA from 1 species
AUGAGUUUGCUUGGCAGGAUACAUGGAGGUGACCCUAGGAUACUGCCGUACGUGAAGAGGGAUGUUGCGAAUGAACGUGCAAAGCUUCGGGAAGCGAUAACACAACAGGACAUGGAUAUGACAGUGAAGUACUUUGAGAGGAGGAAGGCUGAGAAUCCAGAGUUUUUCUUUGCGAAGAAAAAAGAUCCAGCCACGAACUCUGUCACUGCAUUGUUUUGGGUUGAUGGGAGGACAAGGUCGCUGUACCCAAAAUAUAAAGAUUGCGUGUUCUUUGACACAACCUUCUGCACUAACAGAUACAACAUGCCCUUUGGUCCUAUAGUUGGUAUCAACAAUCACCUCCAAACCAUUUCACUCGGGUGUGCUUUGUUGCCGGAUGAGACUAUUGAAACGUUCAAGUGGGUCUUUGAGCAAUGGAUGGUUGCAAUGGACAAUGAGCAUCCAAAGAACAUAAUGACUGACCAAGACCAAGCAAUGGCAACAGCUAUAGAGCAUGUGCUCCCAUAUACUUGCCAUAGGUGUUGCAAGUUUCAUGUGUUUAGCAACGCGCGUUCUAAGUUGGGGAGGCUGCUGAGCAGAAAUGAGGCGUUUGCAGAUGUGUUUUACACUUGUAUCAACAACUCUGAAACGGUUGAAGAAUUUGAGGAAACAUGGCAGCACAUGUUGGAGUGUUUCGAAGUUGCUGAAAACAAACACUUGAAGAACAUGUGGCGAACAAGGCAUAUGUGGGCUCCAGCGUAUUUCAAGAACAAUUUCUUCCCGUUCACAAGCACGACAGGCGGGUCCGAGGGGCUGAACUCAUAUUUCAAGACAAUGAUUCGUCCAGCUGAUUCUGUAUGGAGGUUUGUGCAACAGUAUGAACUGUGCCAGGAAACUGUGCUUGAUCGCGAGGACAAUGCUGGGUUCACUGGUGAAACGACUGCUCCUCCAAUAUACUCUCGAUACAACAUUGAGCGCCAAGCUGCUGAUUACUACACACGCAACAUCUUUGGCAAGUUCCAGAAACAAGUGACUGCGUCUACGGGCUACAUUAUCAACCAAGACGCUGAGUACCAAGGGCGAGGCCUCAUGUUCAAUCUAACAUCAAGCUUAUAUGAGAACCCAAAGCUCUUCUCUGUGCGUGUUAUGAUGGAUGAAGGGGUGUUCCAAUGUAGUUGCCACUACUUUGAGAUGAAUGGCCUGGUUUGCGCCCACAUAAUAAGGGUGAUGGUGCACCUCAAUGUGCAAGUUAUUCCACAACAAUACUUGUUGGAAAGGUGGUCUGAAGCAGCAACAACAAGCAUGGCCAGAACUGGGCGAUUGCUGGAAUUUGGGCACCCCUCGACAAACACGCUCAAAUACAACUCCUUGUGCCGAAGGUUGGCAUGGCUCGCCUCUGAUGCAUGUUGCAAUGAUGAUGCAUACAAGAUAUUAUAUGAAGCAAUAAAAGUUCUUGAGCCUGCCAUUGCUGCGGCGAAAAGAGGGGUACUGCCAGAACAACAAGCAACGCAGCACAGUGAACCCCCAACGCAACCUACUCCUACAAUGGGAGCGUUGAAUGAUGGCCUACCACAGCCUCAAAGCACAGAGAUGCUACGAAACCCAGCUCGUUUCCCAAAGAAAGGUCGGCCAACUGAAAGAGAGAAGAGGAAGAAGACUCUGGUGGAGCAGCUAGAUGAUAAGCAGAAGAAGAAGUCAAAACAAGAAGAGAAGAAGCCAAUGGCAGAAGUGAAGCCAAAAUCUGAAAAAAGAAGUAUUCGCUGCAAGUUCUGCAAAGAAGAAGGUCACAACGUGCAGACAUGUGGACCACUAAAAGCUGCAACAGAGGCGGCGACAACACCGCCUACAUGUCAAUUCUGCUCCGAGGUGGGGCAUACUGUAACAACUUGUGCAUACUGGAGAGCCAUGAUGACAAAUGAUCCAAGAAAUGCCCAAGCAACGCGACUCAACCUCUAG